CCUUUCGCUUCACUCAGCAGUCUUUUCCAUGCUUCUCUACGCUUUCCCAGGCGAGCUUCUCUUUCCUCAGCAGUCUCCUCGAGCAAACGUCCCUCCUUUUCGCUAGACGUUCGGCUUUCUUGUCAUUCCUUGCCUCUCUUCAUUUGGCGCCAUAUCUUUUCAAUUGGUAUUUGAUACCGUAAUUGUUUUAUUAAACUUUUUAUAGAACAAAUUGCUUUGAAAGCUGUCAAAGUUUUUUGCAAACGUACAAAAUAUUGCAGUGCAAAAAGCAAAAUAUUUUCAUGAAG
rnacentral:lncRNA from 1 species